UAAGUAAGAUAGACGAUCGCGGCUGCUUUAUGCAGGUGAGGAAAGUCCGGGCUUCACAGGGCAGGAUGCCAGAUAACGUCUGGUGGAGGUGACUCCAAGGCUAGUGCAACAGAGAUAUACCGCCGGCUUUAUGCCGGUAAGGGUGGAAAGGCAGUGUAAGAGACUACCGUCCGGCUGGUAACAGACGGAGCCAUGUAAACCCCAUCCGAAGCAAGACCAAACAGAGAACAAUAGACCGGCCCGGUCUGUUUUCAGGUAGGUCGCUUGAUGCGGCUGGUGACAGUCGUACUAGAUAGAUGAUCGUCAUAUACAGAACUCGGCUUAUAUUUUGCUUACACU
rfam:Firmicutes bacterium CAG:65 genomic scaffold, scf15